UUCCUCUUCUAAUUCUUUCUUCUUUCUGAGAGAUAGAACUAGAAACCCCUGAAUUAGGGUUUCCAUUGACAAUUCGUUAUUAGAGCUAUUUCCUGGGGUGGGUGUAGCUUGUGUGGGUAUUGCAAGAUGCCUAGGAGUGUAGUUAUGGGUUCUAGAAGCUGUUAGGAUGGAAGAAUUGAAGGAGAAAUUUUGGAUAUGGUAGGAAGCUACUGAUAAGAAGAUUG
rnacentral:misc_RNA from 1 species